AGAGUUUGAUCCUGGCUCAGGAUGAACGCUGGCGGCGUGCCUAAUACAUGCAAGUCGAGCGAACGGACGAGAAGCUUGCUUCUCUGAUGUUAGCGGCGGACGGGUGAGUAACACGUGGAUAACCUACCUAUAAGACUGGGAUAACUUCGGGAAACCGGAGCUAAUACCGGAUAAUAUUUUGAACCGCAUGGUUCAAAAGUAAAAGACGGUCUUGCUGUCACUUAUAGAUGGAUCCGCGCUGCAUUAGCUAGUUGGUAAGGUAACGGCUUACCAAGGCAACGAUGCAUAGCCGACCUGAGAGGGUGAUCGGCCACACUGGAACUGAGACACGGUCCAGACUCCUACGGGAGGCAGCAGUAGGGAAUCUUCCGCAAUGGGCGAAAGCCUGACGGAGCAACGCCGCGUGAGUGAUGAAGGUCUUCGGAUCGUAAAACUCUGUUAUUAGGGAAGAACAUAUGUGUAAGUAACUGUGCACAUCUUGACGGUACCUAAUCAGAAAGCCACGGCUAACUACGUGCCAGCAGCCGCGGUAAUACGUAGGUGGCAAGCGUUAUCCGGAAUUAUUGGGCGUAAAGCGCGCGUAGGCGGUUUUUUAAGUCUGAUGUGAAAGCCCACGGCUCAACCGUGGAGGGUCAUUGGAAACUGGAAAACUUGAGUGCAGAAGAGGAAAGUGGAAUUCCAUGUGUAGCGGUGAAAUGCGCAGAGAUAUGGAGGAACACCAGUGGCGAAGGCGACUUUCUGGUCUGUAACUGACGCUGAUGUGCGAAAGCGUGGGGAUCAAACAGGAUUAGAUACCCUGGUAGUCCACGCCGUAAACGAUGAGUGCUAAGUGUUAGGGGGUUUCCGCCCCUUAGUGCUGCAGCUAACGCAUUAAGCACUCCGCCUGGGGAGUACGACCGCAAGGUUGAAACUCAAAGGAAUUGACGGGGACCCGCACAAGCGGUGGAGCAUGUGGUUUAAUUCGAAGCAACGCGAAGAACCUUACCAAAUCUUGACAUCCUUUGACAACUCUAGAGAUAGAGCCUUCCCCUUCGGGGGACAAAGUGACAGGUGGUGCAUGGUUGUCGUCAGCUCGUGUCGUGAGAUGUUGGGUUAAGUCCCGCAACGAGCGCAACCCUUAAGCUUAGUUGCCAUCAUUAAGUUGGGCACUCUAAGUUGACUGCCGGUGACAAACCGGAGGAAGGUGGGGAUGACGUCAAAUCAUCAUGCCCCUUAUGAUUUGGGCUACACACGUGCUACAAUGGACAAUACAAAGGGCAGCGAAACCGCGAGGUCAAGCAAAUCCCAUAAAGUUGUUCUCAGUUCGGAUUGUAGUCUGCAACUCGACUACAUGAAGCUGGAAUCGCUAGUAAUCGUAGAUCAGCAUGCUACGGUGAAUACGUUCCCGGGUCUUGUACACACCGCCCGUCACACCACGAGAGUUUGUAACACCCGAAGCCGGUGGAGUAACCUUUUAGGAGCUAGCCGUCGAAGGUGGGACAAAUGAUUGGGGUGAAGUCGUAACAAGGUAGCCGUAUCGGAAGGUGCGGCUGGAUCACCUCCUUU
rnacentral:rRNA from 2 species